CGGGAGUAUGGCAAGACCAAGCACCUACUUGUGUAUGUGAAGCACAGUCAAUACCAGAGCACGGCAAUAUGACACUAUCGGAAGACCUGAUGGUGGCAACAUUUACUUGUGACUUGGGUUACAUUCUCGUUGGAAGUUCCAAUUCUGUUUGUCAGUCAGACGGCACUGGUUGGAAUAAUGUUCCGCCAAGUUGUAAGCUUUGUGCUGAUAUACCAGCUAUAGAAUCGGGUUCAGGACUUCUUUCAACUGACG